GACGAACGCUGGCGGCGUGCUUAACACAUGCAAGUCGAACGGAAAGGCCCUGCUUUUGUGGGGUGCUCGAGUGGCGAACGGGUGUGUAACACGUGAGUAACCUGCCCUUGACUUUGGGAUAACUUCAGGAAACUGGGGCUAAUACCGGAUAGGAGCUCCUGCUGCAUGGUGGGGGUUGGAAAGUUUCGGCGGUUGGGGAUGGAAUCGCGGCUUAUCAGCUUGUUGGUGGGGUAGUGGCUUACAAAGGCUUUGACGGGUAGCCGGCCUGAGAGGGUGACCGGCCACAUUGGGACUGAGAUACGGCCCAGACUCCUACGGGAGGCAGCAGUGGGGAAUAUUGCACAAUGGGCGGAAGCCUGAGGCAGCGACGCCGCGUGCGGGAUGACGGCCUUCGGGUUGUAAACCGCUUUCGCCUGUGACGAAGCGUGAGUGACGGUAAUGGGUAAAGAAGCACCGGCUAACUACGUG
rnacentral:rRNA from 1 species